GCGAAAUAUCCUUCUUUUCUCACUUCCAGAUAGAUGGAUAAGGAAGCAUCUACAAUUCUUUCUUCCACAUUGGAUGGAGAAAAUUGUCUUUCUGCUGAAUCCUGUGUUGAGAAGAAGCUCAAAUUAUUUGGGUUUGAGCUGAAUCCAUACAGGAAUGAUGAGAGCUGCCUGAAAGGGUCUGCAGAAGGAGAUGAAAGUGUGAAUUCAUCAAACAAUGUUUCAUCUGAAAGGAAGAAACCUGUCAAGGAGAACAGUUUCACAGGCGAGCCUGACGAUAAGAAGUUUGAGUGCCAGUAUUGUUUCAAGGAGUUCGCAAAUUCACAGGCUUUAGGAGGUCACCAAAAUGCCCAUAAGAAGGAAAGAAUGAAGAAGAAGAGAUUGCAGCUUCAAGCCAGGAAGGCUAGCAUCAGCUGUUAUCUUCAACCUUUCCAGAACAACCUCAGUUACAAUUGCCAUGGCACAACUCAAUGGUUCUAUGAUCCCUCCUGCUGUACUCCUGAAUUCACCUUCUAUGAGGAGUCUCAGAUUAGUUUCAAUCCCUACGAUCAUGAUUCCCAUCUUAAUGGGUCUCAAGUACCAAAGUGGUAUGCUGUACCUGCUCAGGUCCCUUUCCAACAAGAAACUUGUAUGUUCACUUUAACUCAUCCUAGGAGAUCCAGAGAGAACAGGCCUGUCAUUAAGAAGCCUUCACCUUUGCCUGCUUCCAAGCAAUCCUGUAAAUCUUUGGAUCUUCAUUUAGGCCUUGGUUUGCAAUCAAAUAGAACUGGGAUAUAACAUGUUCCAGUUUAGAUUAAAAGCCCCACACGUUUCUUUCAACUCUCGACGGGUGGGAGACAAUACACAAGAAAUUCGUGAUCUUGAUUGGCUGGUAAUUGAUCUCAAUGAUUGCUGUCAAAGACAUCAAGAUGAUUUUCUUGGAUCAUACACACAUAAUGUCAUCUAUAAUUCAAUUUCCCUUAAUGAAAUUAAUCAUACAAACAUGAUGUACUUUCACUUUGUGGAUAAGGAGAGCUCGCAGAUUGGAUGGUGAGACAUAUUCAGCUGAAAUCAUUCUUGAGCUGAUAAACGCUUGCUAGAAUUUGAGCGCUUGAGCUUGGUCAGGACUUAGGAGUCAAGAUUUUAAUGUAUUAGACUCAUAGUUAUUCAUUUCAGUUUAUUUACAAUUAUAUAUUGACGUAAAUUCUGCGACUUGCUAGCAAAAUGAGAACUAAAUCCCAAGAUUGUAAUCUCCG
rnacentral:misc_RNA from 1 species